GACGAACGCUGGCGGUAUGCUUAAGACAUGCAAGUCGAGCGGAGUUUGUUGGGAGCUUGCUUCUGACAAACUUAGCGGCGGACGGGUGAGUAACACGUGAGCAACCUGCCUCUUACAUCGGGAUACCAACUGGAAACGGUUGUUAAUACCGAAUAUGACCACAGCAUCGCAUGAUGCAGGGGUGAAAGGGUUUACUGGUAAGAGAUGGGCUCGCGCCUGAUUAGUUUGUUGGUGGGGUAACGGCCUACCAAGGCGAUGAUCAGUAGCCGACCUGAGAGGGUGAUCGGCCACAUUGGGACUGAGAACGGCCCAG
rnacentral:rRNA from 1 species